UCUCUCUCUCUCUCUUUCUCUCUUUCUUUCUCUGUCUUUCUCUAUUAACCAGCACCAGACACGAUAGUGUUUCCGCUAGUUCGAUUUUAUUUUAGUUCGCGCAAAGAGUUCGAACAUGAAGUGGUGGUCCUACUGAUCGAACAAAGUGGACAUUGUUUUGUGUCUUUUCGCCAAAGAAAGAGAGAGCGAGAAAAAGAGAGAGAGAGGAUGGAAGGAAGAGAGAGAGAGAGAGAGAGAAAGAAGGAAAGAAAAGAAAACGCAGUGUGCGUGCAAGAGAGAAAAAGAUAUAUAUAAGACGUAGAAAAAGUACUAGAAAGCCAGGAAAAGAAAAUUGAGAGACUCUUUGACCUACAAUCCCCACCACUCAUCUCUUAUCAUUAUCACCACCACUAGUACCAAUGGCACCAAUACCAUCAGUAUCACCAUCAUCACCACCACCACCACCAUCAACGUUAUCCUGAGGGCGCAAACUGGCUUAUAUUACUUUCAAAAUUCAUCAGCGAGUCGUUUGAUCUCCUCCUCUCGUAGGCCAUCUUCUACCAUCUCGUUUUCCAACGCUCGGUAAUCAGGUAAAGUACGGUGUAGUAAUUACACUAGCAAUCUGUUUCGUGCGUCGAUGCACGGCUCUACGGAGGAGCAGGAGGAGGAGGAGGAGGAGGAAAACGAAAAGGAGAAGGAGAAGAAGGAAGAUGAUGGCUCAAGUAUCAUCAACGCCUUCUAACCUCUUCUAUCCUUCCUUUGCUUCUCUCUCUCUCUCUCUCUCUCUCUCUCUCUCUCUCUCUCUCGCGCGCGCGCUAGCUGCUCUAUCCUUCGGGAUACCGUGUUGGACUUUCUUAGCGAGAGAAAAGGAAAAUUUUAUGUAGCUAUGUAAGACGACUAAGUAAAUAACUUGGUAUUAUCUACUUGUAUGUGUAUAUAUAUAUAUAUACGUAUGUACACGUAGAACGAAUAAGUACAUACGUGGAUAUGACGUGACCUUUUAUUUAUCGAAUUUAUCUGUAUUUCAUUAAAUUUAUAUAUAUUUCAAUGCUUUUUCAUAUCUGUUUUUUAUACCAUUGUAUAAACACAGAAAGAAAGAGAGAGAGAUAAAGAAUUAUUAUCGGCGUAAAAAAGAAAAAAAAGAAAAAAAAGAAAACGAAGUGAUAAAAUCGAAUCGUUCAAUUUUUCACUACUUUUUCCGUAUUUAUGAAAUAAAAUUAAUAGGAAAUAAUUUCGUAAUUCUUCCAUAUCCCUUUAAAUUUUUGUCUUCCUUUUUUUUUCUUUUUAUCAAUUUCUUCUUUCCUUUUUUUCUAUCUUUUUCUUUACUAUUCUUUUCGUUUUUAUUUUUUUCGAUUCUUUUCGUCCCAUCCAGCAUAAUCGAAAAUCUGAAAAUUCCAAACGCUUAUACGUUGAUUGGCCCCAAUUUUCAUCUAUUACCUUUUAACCCGUAAUAACCCGUGGAAAUCAUCACAUUGUUAGCUGGAAUAAAAGUUCAAUGAUCGAUACAACACCGAUGAACCAUAUCGAUGCACUUUAGCCGAUUGCUUGAUUUAACGUAACGGGCCACGUCAGCGGAAUGAGCAGAAAAUACAUUUGGUUUUGUUUGGACGGAAUGAUAUCAUUGUGGGCUUCCGUUUUCGGUGCUCGAUCGCUUGUACAGUCACAUAUACACACACAUAUGAUACUGACUGAGACGACGAGUGGCUCGAUACACGCGCGCGCGCGCCAGAGAGAGAGAGAGAGAGAGAGAGAGAGAGAGAGGUAGAAGAGAACACAUUUGUGUACAGGUUGGUGCGUACGUGUUUGUUUGUUUGUUUAUUUAUAUGCGAAUCUAUGCAUGUGUGUAUAUAUGCAUGUAUACAUAUAACUAUGUAUGCAUGUAUAUAUGUAUAUAUAUGUAUGCAUAUAAGUAUGUAUGUGUCUGUCUAUACAUGUAUGCAUGUUUGUGUUGUAUGUAUGUAUGUAUGAGCCGAACCCCUCGCCAGUAAUAUACGUUCGAACGGAUUGAAAGCAAGCCUCCGCGAACAUCGAGAGAGCCGGUAUGGAAAUUUCGCGGCUUCCAGUUUGAUAAAUCGAGCCGAGGUCCGUAUGUAGCAUGUUACUCCUACUACUCUCUCUCUCUCUCUCUCUCACACACACACACACACACAUAUAUAUAUAUAUACAUGCGCGCACACAAGCACGCGCGCGCGCGUGUGGAAGCGUGCGCAGGCACGCACCUACGCACGCACGUACUCACACAAACAGACAGCACAUAGACACGUAUAUAUUUCAAAGUGGAAGGUUCACCGUUUCCCUAAAAAAAAAAAAAAAAAAAAAAAAAAAAAAAAAAAGAAAGAGAAAAAAAGAGAAAAAAGAUUCCCAAGUGUAAAAAAAAAAAAUAAAACUCGAAUACUUGUUUAAUUGAAAUUGUGGUCAGUUCGUGAAAAAUAUUCACCGUGAAUGCGUUAAGAUACUCUACUUUACUCCUUCUUUUCUUCUUCCGAAUAAAAGAGAGUGAGAGAAAGAGAGAGAGAGAAAGAGAGAGAGAGAGAGAGAGAGAGAGAGAGAGAGAGAAAGAGAUGGAUAACACGCGAAGAAAUUGAGACGACGACGAAGCCGCCGCCGGCUGACUGCUAUGAGAGACAUAUUGGAAUUUUAGAAUUUCGCACUCGUAUUUUUCGUAUCCCUCUACUACACCAAAAAGCAGCAGUCUCUCUCUUUCUCUCUCUCUCUUUCUUUCUUUCUUUCUUUCUUUCUUUCUUUCUUUCUUUCUUUCUUUCUCAUCUCAUCUCAUCCUCUCUUCUUCAUACUGAUUCAGAUUUUCAGAGCGGAUAAACCAACGGCGAUUCGCCAUCUCGAUUCUAGGCAACGUUCGCUGUUGCUUUCGAAACUGGGACAACGUUCGAAGAUGUCGCGUGUGAUUGAAAAUCGAUUAUAUGUCGAGUUCGUCCUCAACUUGAGUACUCAUGGUUAACCGUAGAAGGAUGAAAAGGGAUGCAUACAAACUAGAGUAAACGGGGCUAAGACACGUGUAAACAAAGAGAAGAAAGGAAGCAAGAGAGAGAGAGAGAGAGAGAGAGAACUUCUAAUUGCAGGGAUAAAAUUAUUCAAUGUCAAGUAAGUAAUAUUCAUCGAAAUUAUCGAUUGGCUAAUCAAAAGUUUAACGCGGAAACGAUUCAUUCUUUGCUUACGAUUGAUUAACGACCAAGGAAAAUGAAAAAAAAACAGGAAAAAAAAGAAGAAAUGGAAAAGAAAGAAAGAAAGAAAAGGGGUAAUCGCUAAUAAGUCUCCAUUUCCUUUUCUAUUGAUUUAUCAAUCCGUCUUCGGAUUAAUCCGACUUUAAGUCUCUCUCUCUCUCUCUCUCUCUCUCUCUCUCUCUCUCUCUCUCUCUCUCUCUCUCUCUUUCUCUAAUCUUAUCUUCGCUUCCAAAUCGAAGAACGACUGAUAAUUCUGACGUCGUACCAAUCGACUCGAGGAGAGUCGUUAAAAAAUUUUGCUGGCUCGAAGAAAAAUACUUUCCUUCGUUGUUAAAAAAAAAAUUUUUUUAAAAAUUAAAAAAAAAUGAAAAGAGAGAAAGAGAGAGAGAGAGAGAGAGAGAAGAAAGAGAAAAGGAAAAAAAGAAAAAAGGAGACAAAUGAAAUAGAAAAAGGAAAAAAGAUAAUAUCUCGUAUAAUUACACGAUGAGUUUUCUCUUGUGAAUUCGAUCGAAAAUAAUUUUCGAUAAUUUACUGAGACCCCGAAGCAACGUUAUUUUCUAGGAUUCUUCAAAAAGCAAAAUGAGUUCCGCGAUUCAUCUACAAAUCUCUAUCCCGAUGUUCCCGCUUCGCCACCACCCCUCUUCUCCUCGCCCUACGUCCCACCACCUCCGUCCCCACACUUCAGUUUUUUCUUCCUUCACCACUUUCCUUCCUUUCAAGAUUUAAAUCUCGAAUCAAUUGACUCGAGAUCACUUUGGCGUCGAUAAAAGCUCUUUCUCUCUCUCUCUCUCUCCCUCUCUCCCAUUUUUUCCUUCCUUCUCUCUUCCCAUUCCCUCUGAUUCCAAUUCGAGCUAUCCUGCAAACAGAUACCAUCGCUGGAUAAUACCAAGGUUUUCUUGUCUCCAGUGGCAACUUUCGGUCAGAAUCUCUUUACGUUACGUCCAAUGUAUUCCGUCAAUGGUUGGUGCUUAAUUAAAGUUUCAAAUCUUCGAUUAAGGAAAACUAAAGAAAAAAAAAUUAUAAGAAAUAAUGUUCCUUCCUUCCUUCCUUCCUUCCUUCCUUCUAUCUUUCUUUCUUUCUUUCUUUCUUUCUUUCUUUCUUUUUCCCCACAGUUUAUACAUUAGAAUUCUCCUUCGAUUAAUUCGACGAAACUGACGUUUCAAAUCGUCACGAUCCAUUCUUCCCAGACUGAAGGAUCUCCUUGCCUUCUUGCUCCCAUUGUUUCUCAUUAUUUUUUGCAUCAGCCAACGGUAAACGCGUUAUGAAAAGAAGAAGACAGGAAAGUAGGACGUCGCUUGUGUAUUGUGCUUUGACGUGGAAAAAAAAAAGGAAAAAGAAAAAGAAGAAAAAUAUAAAGAAAAAUGGCGAAGAAGAAGAAGUAGAAGAAGAAGAAGAAGUAAUAGUAGUAGUAGUAGUAGUAGUAGUAGUGGUAGUAGUAACAGCAACAGCAGAAGAAGAAAAAGAAAAAGAAAAAGAAAAAGAAGAAAAAAAAGACGAAGAAAAUUUCUUUUCUUCUUGCCGUAUAGAGAAGGCCGUGGAAAAGUAUGGAAACCGUUGAAAAUCGUGGCACGAUAAGAAAUAAGAAAA